CUCCUCAGCAUUUACCAAGAGAGACACAUUCAUCUUGAACUGCUCUGUCUGUUCUGUUGCCUAUGAAGGGAGUUCCCCUGCAAGGACAAAAAAAAACCAACAAACCCCACAGUGCUGUUAUCUUUCCUUCCUGCCGUGCGGUCAGGCUGCUCUGUCACUUUGCUCAUUAUCUGGCCAAACUUCUUCACUUCAGAGUGGAUCUCCAUGCUCCUCAUCCGGAAUCUGGUGCAAGCCUCAGGUCCUUCUCUCUUCAGACUCACCAGCCUUUCCUCGGCUCCUCAUUCCUAGAAGCAACAUUUAUCUGCUAUACGCAGUCUUGUUUCCAGAAUGCCUCCUGACGACCGCUGCACGUUCC
rnacentral:lncRNA from 13 species